UACGUAUGGUGCAAGCGUUAUUCGGAUUUACUGGGUGUAAAGGGAGCGUAGACGGCAUAGCAAGUCUGAAGUGAAAUGCGGGGGCUCAACCCCUGAACUGCUUUGGAAACUGUUAAGCUAGAGUGUCGGAGAGGUUAGUGGAAUUCCUAGUGUAGCGGUGAAAUGCGUAGAUAUUAGGAGGAACACCGGUGGCGAAGGCGGCUAACUGGACGAUAACUGACGUUGAGGCUCGAAAGCGUGGGGAGCGAAC
rnacentral:rRNA from 1 species